rnacentral:lncRNA from 1 species
GUCAGACUCCCAGGUUUAGCACUGCCCGAUUCUCACCUGGAUCCUGUUUGGACUUCAUAUCCAGAGUCUAAUACCACAUUGCAGGCAAUGUGAAAUAUAAACUGUGCAAACAAAGUCAUAAAAAGUGAGUCUUCCAACUAACACAUUCAUCAGAGGAAGAACCAUAACUGCCCAACAAAUGUUUAGUCUCUUCAUGCCUGUGAGCUGAAGGGCAUAAUCCUGGACCCACUGAAGAGGCAGCAACCAGCAAGUGAUACCCAUCAAACACUUCACAGGGUGUGCCAAGACUGUGCAUCUCUCAACAUUUCUGUAUGUAUGGAGGAUGGAGGAAGUCAGAUGCUACCUUAAAACACGUGGGAUCUCUGCACCUACAGAGAAGCAUUGCUGCCCACAGUAUGCCAGUAAAGAUGAGAUAUACAUCUCAUUCUGGUGUUGUAAGUGAAAUGAAAAUAAAUACUGCUUAUCGCUUGCUCUUGACCCAUUUUCAUGCUCAUUCUGUUGUUCUGUAGAGUAACAUAACAUUACAGCUAUUUCUGACAAUAUGGGAGUCACGGAUAGAAUUUCCAUUCUAAAAUGGCUAUGAAUAUCAAAUUCAUCCCGUAUGUGCACAAUAGCUAGGAAAAGGACAUUUGUAUACUCAACCACAAGUGCUUUUCUGUAACAAGUUCA